UAUUAAAGUACAACUAUUCAGCGGGCGGAUCUCUACUUGCUCGAAGAUUAUUUACACUAUCACUCUCCCCCUCACUUUCACUCAGAGCUCCAGCAUCGGGGGCGAGCUUCUUGAGCUAGGAAAAGUCCUCAUUGGGGUAUUGCUUCAGCAGUUCGGCAAGCAGGUCAUUGUGGGUUUGCACAUACGCACCGACUUCUUUUUCAAUGGCCUCGUUCUCCUUUGCCUUAAGCUAUGUGGAGAAUUUGGCCAAGUCGGUAGGCUGGCUCGCCUUGGCAUCCUCAAGUUCCUUUUGUAGCUAAGCCACGAGCUCCUUAGAAGAUCUCAUCUAUCGCUCAAAUUCUUUAACCUGGGCAUUGGCAGUGGUCAGAUGGCUCUUGCAGGUUAUUACCUCGAUGACCGCCUUCGACAUCUCCCACCUGAGGAAGUCCACAUUCUCCUUCACCAUGUGUUGGGUGGCAACUGCCUCCAAGCUCAGGCUCAUAAACAGGUUGAGGAGAUCAUCAAUACUUUUCCUACCCAUCCAAGCUCAGUCUUUCAGGAAGCAAAUGGUAGAGGCAAUGACCAUUGCAAAUUCGAUAUUACCCUUCACGGACCGGUUUCUCUCCAGAGACCUUGAUAGCAGUUGAGCGCCCCUAGAAAUCGGUUGCCCAGAUGAACCACUCUCAGAAGUAGCAAAGACCGGCGGUAGAUUUGAAGGCCUAUCUAGAGGGGGAGGCGAGCCAACAUCGGCGAACUCAUUCUGAACCCGAGCUGGAGAACUAGUUUCCUUGACCUGGGCUCUUUUCUGUGCUUCUUGCUCAGCAGCCUUGCAACAAUAUUAUCUGAAUAUCCAUACACUCAAAGAUUAUUUAUCAUGAAUGCAUUAGGUCAAUGUGGGAGAAUGCGCCACACAUUUGGAGGCACAGUGUAUUGCUAUUGCUGAUUGUCUCCUAUUAAAUCAUCUCUCUCAUUCAAUUCCAAAACCUAAAAGUGCACAUAUGAUCCAUUAGAAAUAAGAUAAAAGGGUAAAAUAACAGCUGCAGCUUGUACUAAUUGAGGGCAUUGAAAAUCAGGAACACUGGAAUUUCACUUUGGUAUAAUAUUGACAUGUUGGAAUAUAGAAUCAGAUUUUGGAUUUGCUAUGAGAUUAUUUAUCGUUAAUAUUCACUUCCUGAUAACAAUUUGAAAUGGAUUAUUAAACAUCCAACUUUAAUCUAACACUCAAGUUAUCUCCUAUUGGAAUCAGUCGCGGAGACAGACGCUCGACUUUGCUGGGGCAAAACUAAAACUAAUACAUAAACAGUGGGAGGUUUUGAGAAUAUUAAAAUAAAAUUUUUAAUUUAUUAAUUACUUAAUUUAAAUGAAAUAAAAAAAUCUCACAUUUCAAUUAUAUAUGAAAGUUUUUUUUUUUUUUAAAUAUAUGAAAGUUAUUAUUCUAUUUUCAUGAGUGGACACAUAAGAUAAACUGCACAAGAAAUUAGCAUCAAUUUAUUUUAUGAAUCUUGUUAUGCAAUAAUAGAAGUCUUGGGCUUAGCUGCAGAUCAAAACUCUAGAGCAGCCGGUUCAUGAAACAAAACUCAAGCCCAAAAUUGUUGGCAGAAUUUCCUUCUCAGCAUCCUUAUUUGGCACAACCAUUAACCGGGCACCAUCAUCCAGCGUAUUCUGCUGCGGACGACUGCUAGGCACCAAUCAUCUUCUCUGAAUUUCCUUCUCAGCAUCGCUAAUUUGAUUAUCUAUAAGGCAGUCGGUAAGUCAAGCUGCACAACAUAACCUUUUGAAAGAUUGCAACUUUCCAGAUGCAAUGACAAUGAAAUUUUGGUACAGCCAUUUCAUUACUUUCAUUAUCAUUCAAUCGCUUCCUUGUAUGCAGUUCCAUGCAAAUAAAAUACGAAUAGUCUAAGCUAGCUUAUUUUGAUUUAAAACCUCAAUAGAUGGAAGAUAACACCAUCAAUGGAAAAGAGAAAAUAAAACACGAUUAAUUUGCCAAAACAGUAUCAUGUUUAACAGUGGAGAAUUUCAGAGAAAAACUUUAUCCUCCUGUUUGCAAUCUAGAAUUUUAUAAGAAUUCA
rnacentral:misc_RNA from 1 species